CGUAAAACCUUACCUACCUUGACAUGUCCGGAAUCCGAAGAGAUUUGGGAGUGCUCGCAAGAGAACCGGAACACAGGUGCUGCAUGGCUGUCGUCAGCUCGUGUCGUGAGAUGUUGGGUUAAGUCCCGCAACGAGCGCAACCCUUGUCAUUAGUUGCCAUCAUUUGGUUGGGCACUCUAAUGAGACUGCCGGUGACAAACCGGAGGAAGGUGGGGAUGACGUCAAGUCCUCAUGGCCCUUAUGGGUAGGGCUUCACACGUCAUACAAUGGUCGGUACAGAGGGUUGCCAAGCCGCGAGGCGGAGCCAAUCCCACAAAGCCGAUCGUAGUCCGGAUUGUUCUCUGCAACUCGAGAGCAUGAAGUCGGAAUCGCUAGUAAUCGCAGGUCAGCAUACUGCGGUGAAUACGUUCCCGGGUCUU
rnacentral:rRNA from 1 species